UACGUAGGUGGCAAGCGUUGUCCGGAUUUACUGGGCGUAAAGGGAGCGUAGGCGGAUCUUUAAGUGGGAUGUGAAAUACUCGGGCUCAACCUGGGGGCUGCAUUCCAAACUGGAGAUCUAGAGUACAGGAGGGGAGAGUGGAAUUCCUAGUGUAGCGGUGAAAUGCGUAGAGAUUAGGAAGAACACCAGUGGCGAAGGCGACUCUCUGGACAAAGACUGACGCUCAGGUGCGAAAGCGUGGGGAGCAAACAGG
rnacentral:rRNA from 1 species